UUAAUUUGUGAAUUGGGAGAAAGAAACAUAGCCUACUUCAAGAGGAAAGUAGAGGUCUCGAGGUGUUGCUUCGAUGGACUUUGGUGGAAGCUGGCUCUUAACUAGGGGAAACAACCAACUGGUCUGGCAGAUCCAGUACUUUAACACACCUGACACUGGAGAUGGGCAUCAGUCACGAGUUGUUGGUGGUGAGAGCAGGAGCUCAAGACCUCUACUCUUCUUUUGAAGUAAAGUAUUUUCUCCAAAGUUGGAAAUUAAGGUCAUAUUUUAAGAUUAAACAAAGGUUAAUGAAAGUCUGGCUCUACGCAGUGCACAAAUACCUCCAUGACGAUUUCGAAAUUUUUACUUACAACUCCGAAUAUUUAGAAGAUUGAUGCCAUCUCGAUGUUUGCGGAAUCGCUUGUGUUAAUAAACUUCCCAUUCCAUGUGCUAAAUCCGCACACCUAUUGUACCCAUAGAUGCUGGGGCACUUUCUCCACAAAAUUCGUAAACAAUGACUUCCACCCACGACUUAUCCAAGGGAACUACGAUUUUUGGUAGAAGAAGCGUGCACUAGAUAAUGAUUUAAAUAAAUAGUUAAACGGCAGUUUAAGGUCAUGAAUUACAUAAAUUUUUUACAUAUUCAGGAUUAUUAAUUUGAAAAUGUUUGUUGUUGAAAAAGUAACUAGAUUCCUGUCUCAAAUAUCAACAGUUUUACUUGUGAGCAGUACCUACAGCAUCUUUCGCGCUCUUCUACUGUCAUUUUGCCGUCUGCUUGUACCUACUUUAGAAAUAUCUGUAAUUUUUCGUGGUUAAUUUGGUUGCAAAAGAGGGUUAAUAGACAUGAAUUAAAUAAACAUUUUGAAGUAACAAAAUAAAGUUAAACUAAAUAAUGAGUAAAGUAAAACAAUUAAGGGAAUUAAGCUUUGCACCUCAUAAACCGUGUACUCGUGUGCUGCCCGCAACAGUGUUUGUGGAGUGAGCGCUUAGGAACCAGGAACCGCAACAUAGUUCAAGUGCAAUUUGGGGUGAAUUAAGACCAAAACAUGUAUAAUUACUACAAUCAAAUAAGCACUGUGGAGUUUCAGUUGUGAUGGCAGUAAGGAUAAAACCACUGAUUACAAGGUAAAAAUGAAUUUCAGUUCAAACCAUGACCCCGGGAAUAAGAAGUUUCAUACUUUCACUAAUAUAGGUAACAAUCUUGAGUAAGAUCAAUAAACGUUACUUAUAUACGCUAAAAUUGUUCAAAUGAGUGCUGGGAAGGCCGGGAAAGAUGGUGGCUCGGCUGCGCUUAUGAACGUCAUCUGACGCGGGUGCCGCCAUAUUGGAUUUCAAAACUGCCUUGAAAACAUAUUUUACGAAGAUCUCACAUGCUUAUUGUAGUUUGUAUGGUGCUUUCAUAUAUCACAUUAUGUUGACGAAACUUCAAUCUUUUGAAUGGUAUGCUUAAAGAUGUAAUUGUAUUCUUGUUUCACCAAUUAAAUAUCGAGUGAAUAAGGCUGAUCCACGCGAUGACGAUGGAUCCACUGCGGUGUUUCCCCCUAAUACCUAUCCUGGGCACAUGUUAAAGUACUUUUUCAGGAAGGUGGUCGCACUAUGGUAGAGGCUGGCCAUUUGGUAUUUUACCUCAAUUGAAGCGCUUUUUUUUUAAAGUGGCCAUGUUCCGAGAGAGGUGGCCGCUAUGUUGCUGAUCGGUCAUUUACCCCUACUAUCUUAUGGCCUAAACAGCAUAAGACAUUAUCAAGGUGCUGGUGCUAAACACAGUGGCCAUUUUGCACGUAAACUGGAAGUUUUUUUUUGGUCUAGAAGGGUGCUUACGGCAGAAACGACCCAAAUUCUUGGGCCACUGGCAUUCUAAUUUGCAUGACAUACCCUAAGCUUAUCCUAGGUAUUUGACUCUGGUCGGCUUUUAUCGAUUAUAGCCUAGGUAUUAGCAAUAGGAUGACCUGAACCACAUAUGAGCCUCCAUCCAUUCUGUCCCCCCCUUGCCUCCAGUUUUUGAACUCAUAGUCUAGAAGCAUGCCAUGGCUUUCAUUUCAUUGUGUUGGUUCUCUAUUGUCUUUUCGACUGAUUUGGUUAGAAUUUUCAAUAUACUGAUGUGAACAAUCAUAAGAAUAGCCUACAUGGGUAAGAAAUGAUUAAGGUCAAAGGAAAUGUCAACCCCACAGGGUCUCUGAUGGGGAAAUGAAUAGCCUAGGACCUCUGCGUGGCUUUGAACAUUACUGUAAAAUGCAUGUAAACCAAAAUACUUAGAAGUUAUUUGCAUGUACUGUAAACUCAAAAAAAAAGUGACCUGUGAAUGGAUGCCUUCCAAAACCAUGUUUCAGGUUUAUAACUUUUUAUGUAUGCAAAUGUACCGGCUUAUAUUUAUCACAGCUGGCUAGCAGGGUUAGGCUAGUAGUAAUAAAACUUUUGAAGUGGUCAUAUGAGUGGUAUGAUGGUGGAACUAUAUUUUAAGCAUUCAGCAGUGGAAAAAGAAAUGAAUAAAGUUGUUCAACUCUUAAAACUUAAGAUAUGUUAUGGUAUUCUCACCUGAGUGUCUAUGGUAUAAAUGUCCUCAGCAGUUACUGAUGCAGUUGUUUGAUUAAAUGUCGUAAUAGAAAGUGCAUUGUUAAAAGCUGAAACAACUGUCAUUUUGGUGAUACAAUAUCUUUUAUCAUGUAGUGUUAAGUGUUUCAGUGAGGGGAUGUUACCCACACUGCAGUAAAACACGUCCUCAAAAAACGCUGGUAACUGCUUUUUAUGUUGUUAGGAUGAAACUUUAGUCAGUUCUAAAAGAGCUUUCUAAGUUUUUGAUAGUCUUGAAAAUGUGCUGUAACAACUCACUCAUAUAUCUGAAAGCUUGUGAUUUCCCUUAUUUAGGAAGCCAUUUAAUCUAGAUCAUAUCAGAUUACUGAUGAUGAGACCUGCAUGAACUAUUGGUUUGCAUGCUUAGAGGAAAUAGUUUUUGUGAUUUUUAUUCUUACCAUUUGCAGUUGACGACAAGGUGAGCAAGAGGUGAGAAUGUGACUCAGAAUGGAACAAGGAAAAACUGGAUACAAAUUCUCAAAAGAAAUGGCUGCACUUCUGGUUCAGUUUCAAGUCUUUGUAGGUGACUGAUCCAUUUGUGUAUCAUUAUGGCAAGAAUAUUAUUAAACCUCACUUCACUGUGGAAAUAUCAGUGAUACAGGAAUGACUGAAGCAAUAGUUUGAAAACCCAAAUGAAGAGAAGGACUACAAACUGGAUGAUGUUGGUAUGAUGAUGGGAUCAAUAUGCAAGGCAAAUGUAGGGCUCACUAUCUGAUGAAAUAAAAAGUUGAUGACAAGGUAAACCAGGGGAAGAAAUGUGACCCAAACAAGGAAAAAUGGAUUACAAAUUCUCAACAUGGAGAAAGGAUUGUAACAUCAGUGCAAUACAAAUGGCAACAGUACUGGUCCAGUUCCAAGUCUCUGUUGGUGACUGAUCCUUCUGUGUAUCAUUAUGGCAAGGAUUCUAUUAAAUCUCUCUUCACUGUGGAAAUAUAAAUGAUUCAAGAUUGACUGAAGCAAUAGUUUGAAAACCUGAAUGAAGAGAAGGACUACAAACUGGAGAAUGUUGGCAUGGUGGUGGGACCAAUACACAAGGCAGAUGUAAAGCUCACUACGUAUCUGAUGAAAUAAGAAGGUAGCCUGGGUUCUUAUUGGCGAAGUUGCAGAUGAUGAUUGCUGAUAGGUCACAGAAGAACAUGUUUUCUUCAGCUUCAUGUGAUUCUUCUUCUUCCCAGCUUUAUCCCUAUUCGGUGACCCCUUCAGCUUCAUAUGAUUAAUAAUUGAAAUAAGAGGAGAGGAUUUCUAUUAAUCAUUAUGUAAAUCAUGCAUUUUGUUUUUCUCAUUUAUUUGUUUCUGAGGAUGUUAAUUAUGGUAUUGAGCUUAAAUAUGUUUGAUAUUUUGCUUUUAAGGUAGAUGCUUAUGAUCUUAGCACAGAUAUUUUGUCUGAUUUCAAGUUUAUGUUUUUAGCUCAUAUUGUUUUAUUUUUGCCCAAAUGCUGUAUAAAACUUGUCACAGUUGAAACUUGAACAAAAUGUUGCUGAAAAGAUGUAGCACUUACCAGACUGCCAGAUUUGACAUUUUCUAUCCCUCUGUUGACAGGCUUUAGAUUUUUCAUCCUAUUAUGUAGUUUUCCUGUGUUCGACAUUGUAUGCCCUUCAGAAAAUAGGUACUGUUUAUUGGAUACUGUUUCCUACUUUUCACUUGACAUUUCAGUCAAUUUUGUUGUUUCUUUAAUUGUACUUCACUCAAAUAUUUACCUCAUUGUAAGUGAAACUUAUCAUUUUUACUUCACUGAAAAACAAAACUUUGGACUUAUACAUACUUCAUUGAAGGACAAAACUUUAGGUGUGUUUUUUUCAUUGGUAGUUCUACUCCACCAUUUUGUUUUCUGCUUCUGUUUAGCUUUGUUAGAUCAGGCCAUGGGCACCUGUUUGUAUGUUCUUUUGAAACCCACAAAUGUAUCUACACUGAACUAUAGCAAAAAGUUACAUAAAUCAUUGUGCAAAUAACUCAUAACCUCUGGAACUUAUGUUUGUUACUCAUGAUUAAUAUAAUCUCAAGAAAAUAUGAUAAUUGGUAAGCUUUACAUUCCAGUUUUCAGAAGUUGCCAAAAUUUUAGAAAACAUUGUUCAAUAGGCAAUUACUAUUGGAGAUCAUGAGUUGAUGGUGAAAAUGUUUCAUUCCAAAUUUCUACAUGUCUCAUCAAAAUUAUUGUUAUUCAAGUUAUUUGCCCAUUUCUUUUUGUUCAGUGAAAAUUUUUCUCACAUGUGUUGGCAGAUUGUAACACUAAUGGAUUAGAAGCUUACCCACCACCAAGUUCAUUUGUUGAUGUAGUUCAGCUGUUCAAAUUUAAAAUGUCAGAAUCAGAGGUGAGGUGGUUCAAGAUGAAAGAUAGUGCGUAGUGACCAGCUUAUUAAUGUAGUAGAGCCCUUUAAGAAAACCAUUGAAAAGUGCUGUUUAAGUAGUUAUAGACAUGAGGACCUUUUCCAUAUCAGACCUCACAGAGAAGUUGGAGACAAUGUUUGUUUAGAACCUGUUCAAAUAGGCACUGUAUUGUAUAACCAAAAGAGCAAUUUCUCCUCAACACAUUUACAGUUUCAGUGAAGCCUAGACCAAUGAGGAACAAGUAUAGAUACCAUUUAGAGUUAUGUAGACGAGUAAUUUUGUCAGUUCCAAGUAAUUUUGUAAUGUUUUUCUGUAGAGAGAAGCAUUUGCUCUCAAUAUUUGAUUUAGUAUAGAUAUUUAACAAGCUAAUACAUACUAAGGAACUGGUUGUCUUAUGUACUUUUGAUGUUUUAUCACAAGAUAAUUUGCAAUUGUAAAACUUAAAUUUGGGGGUCAUAAAGUAAUUCACAGUUUCAAGACGUCUCUUCCUCUGUGUAGCUAAGUAUUGUUCACUCUGAAGAAAGAUAGUGCCUUGGAACUGAGUUAAAGUAUAGUAUGUACUCAAAUUUGGCUUUAAUGUCUAAAUUACAGUUUGCUAAUUAGCUUACAUCAUCAUACUCUGUGACAUGUGAGAAGGCUUUUCUGUAUAAACACAUCAUGUAACAUGAAUACUGUAUUUACUUUCCUGUAAUCUUUCAUUUUGACUUCAUGGUGUAAUCAUGCAUUAUAUGAAAUUAACAUUACAUAUUGUAUUCUGUAAGGUAAAUUUUACUUCAACAGAAAAACAGAACUAAAACUAUUUUAUUUCCCAGAAAUCAAAACAAACAUAAGAGAACAUUACAAAGUAAAUUAAUUUUUUUUUUUCACCAAUACUUCAGUGUACCACCCCAAAUUGGGGCUAACCUUGGUUUAUAAAACUGACUUUGCCGGCACUAAAAAUCCUUUCUUAGGUCCUACAAACCAGAGGACCUGUAUAGAAGUCAAUCAGUCCCAGAGUAACUAACAACAAAACUGGGUUUUUGUUAUUUCUCUAAAUGGAAAGUCAAUAAAAUAUUUCAACUUUGGUUACUGGAAGCAUUCCAUCACAGGGUCACCUUCCAGUUAGUUUAAGAUUCCACUGCAGUAGGUCUCUGAAAAACUUCAUAACAAUCUAGAGAAUUUAUAACUUGAGACAAUGUUGCUGACAUUUCUUUUCCUUACUGAUGAUAAAAUUACCUUGGUUAAAAUCAUGGUGUUUUAAUUGUAGAACUACAAAUAGUCAUGGACACAAGAACUUUAGAAAAUUCUAUGUGACACUUGAAACUCGAGCAAGUCAAUUUAUGAACUAUGUGAAGUAACAAAUGGAAUAUACACUAACUCAUUUCAUUGAUCUAAGACCACUUUGGGCAAAGUUCUUAAAUAAUUCCUUUGAAGAACAGGCUGUUGUAAUGCCUCCUCCUCAACAUUAUGACCUCUAUAAGAUUACUGUAGAUGAAAAGUAUGUUAAACACAUGACAAGUUCUUGGACAACAACACCAUUAAACUGGCUAUGUACAAAAUGAGUACAGUACUAGGCCUAUGUCUAAGUAAGGAUAAUAUUAAGUGCUAUUACUAUUAGCAUAUUUUACGUUACCUUUGCUGUUAUUAUAUAUAUUAAGAUUGCCCUAGUUACAUUGGACUAAAAAUAAAUCACGUAAAUGAACAUGCAUGAAAUUUCAUUGAUUCUCAGACAUAUUUAGUUUACCUAAACGUCCCAAGUCACCACUAAACAGGAGUCCUUAUUUCGAGUUCAUUACAUUGUACCAUAGUACCAAAAGCUCCCUAGAAAGCAGUAAGACUAAACACACACGUCCAAGAGUAAAAAUUCAUGUGAUGCUUCUGGUUUGAGUAACAGACUUCAGAAAAGGGGAUGACAUCAAUGCAGGGUACUAUCUUGACACCCUAAAGCUUCAACCCAGUCAAUAAGUACCAGAUUAAACUGGUCACAUUCCCCUACAUUGACGAGUUGGCACAGACAGUGCACCCAUCAAGGUAGGAUUCUGAAGGACAUAACAAUGAUAUUAAGGUAUAACCUUAAGAUACCAAAAUGUAGCAUUCUGAUACCUUCAGUGAAGGGCAACUACCUGACCUUUGCCUUACAAUCACUAGUUUACAAAUUAUGUCCCUUCAGACAUGCGUUUCUCUCUUCAACAGACUCUGACACACCAACAGAUUUCUAAAAGAUAUGGCCUACAUAGACACAGUUCAAUUUCAUUGGCAGCUAUGGAUUCUAUUAAUGCUAGUAGAUUGAUAUGUAUGAAACUAUCCAAUUAUUUACUUGCAUAUUCACCCAGCACCAACAUACAAAUGGAUAAGAAAUCACUUGCGCAACAAGAACAGAAACUGAUUUGGCUAGGUAUGCAGUGCAAAGAAUAGUAGGCAAGAGGUAUGCCAAAUAUUCAAUAACCUAUUUUUAUUCAAUAUAAACUUCACAUUGAAGUAUUCUCAGCACCUAUUGUUGAAACACAACCAAGGAAUACCUAGCCCUUCACAAUAUGACAACAGGAAGCAAGUAUAUUCAUACAAUGCAGACCCUGUAUCAACUGUGUGCAAGAGCAUAUGGAAACUGGAAGUUAAAAUGUAAUAGUCCCUGCCAUAAAUUCAAGAUGAAUGGACAUAAAUUAUGUCAAGACAAGCAAUGGUAAUACAAUACAGCUUAAAAUAUCUCUCGAAUUGUUUUGAACAACACUUACAUGAACGAUGAGAGCGCUCAAAUUUGCGCUAAAUGGAAAAAUGAAAAAUAUAAAAAACACAGUAGACCAAAUGCUCUUCAAGGCUACACUUCAUUACAUAUUGUGGUUUAAGAAACUAAGGUCCCAGGCAACAAACAUGCAAGCAGCCUUGCUGAAAGACAAGGGUGUGAAGAGAACAGUAAGAAAAAUUAACUGGAAAAGGACAAUGGAGAGAGCUCUAACCAUACGGCUGUAUCAACCAACUGGAAAAACAAAAACCUCCAACAAUUCAGACAGGCAAUCUACUAUACAACAUUGGGGAAAAAUUAGUCUGCCAAUUAUUGUAGCUGCCUCUCUAAAACCACUACUAUAAUGAACUUCCUGACCAAGGAAACAGCUGCUCCAAACAGUAACCAACUAUACUGUCCUCCCAGAAACAAGACAGGACAUGUCUUGUGGCAGAUAUAAAGAGUAGGGGGAUCAACAGCAUACUAAUAACUAGUGCCUAUUAAACAUAUGAAUCAGAAUAUUGGAACAGAAGUCUCAUUUCUAAGUUUCUUUUUCAUUUGCAAGAAACUGAAUGCUUUUGGAUAGUUCGUCUAAACCAGAAUAGACGUAAUAUUGAUCACCAGAGGAAUAUAGAAAGUAGGGAGGUACAACUGUCUCAGAAACCAAAUGAAAUAGAAGAGCUGUAAUGAACAGCAUAUUCAUGGCAUAGACGAUGAACAACAAAACUGAAUUAACUGUUGACAAACUAGAUUUGCGGGUAGGCCUUGUACGAAUUCAGAGGAGGGAAGGCACCAGCAAUCAAUUGUGAAACAGCUAGCAUUAAAGUCAAUCCUUACAAUUGCACUGAAUAAAGGACUCUGCUUUAUGACUUACAAGCAAGCUGAGUUCACAAAAUGGCAAAGGCUACUAAGUUUUAAGGUUGGCCAACUAGUAUACAGGCAUAACAUCUUCAUCUACAAGAACAGAAAACUCCUUUCUUAAUCUAGGCCCAUAUUAAACUGAAUUCUAAAAUGCAUUGAAAAGGCCAGUCCAUACUGACCUAAACAUGAAAAAUCUAUUUAAAAUUUAUCUUUUUUUACUAUUUUCAAAAAGAUUUGGCCAUUGUUACAAUAGGAUACUACAUUAAACUUAGCUACAAUAGGAACAGACAGAACACACAUUGAUACUCUUCAGGAAUGGUAAAAAAAAUUUCUUAUCUAUUAAAAAAAAUAGGGAGGAGAUCUCUCGUAACAAAACCUGCUUUUUUUCUAACUUUUAAAACUAAGAGUGAACAGUUUGGCCACAAAAUCUAUCAUCCAACACAAAAUUUCAACAGCUAAUCACAGUAACCUUAAUGUAUAUUGAUUAAUGAUUACACAAACAACAUUCUAUUUUGCUGUCUAACUUCUGUAACUCCUCAGUUACACAGAUUUACACUUAUUUCAGUAUGUAUCAGUAUAUUUGAGAAACAUAUAAAAAAAUCUAGAUUAUUUUUGUCAGUAGUGAGGUUACAAUAUUCAUAUGAUGAUGACAUACAAAACAUAAAGCACUGAAAUUUCAAACUAAAAUAAUUUUAUAAAUACAUCUUUUUGGCAGAGGGAUUUCUCAACAUUUUAAAGGAACAUUUAAAGAAAAAUAAAGACUGGUUUUAAAGGAACAUUUAAAGAGAGAGAAAAAAAAAGACUGGAAUCUUUGCCUCCCUGAACAAACACAGCUCACUUGGUUUCUGUACAUUAAAAAGUACAGAAACCAAGUGAGCUUUUUUGAAAAGGCCAAAAAAAUCUCUUUUCAUUAAUGGAACUUUGAGAGCAAAAUAACAAUUUGUCGAAAAUUGUAUUUUUCCUAACUAUACAAAUCUGAGGUCCU